rnacentral:rRNA from 1 species
UACGUAGGGUGCAAGCGUUGUCCGGAAUUAUUGGGCGUAAAGAGCUCGUAGGCGGUCUGUCGCGUCGGCUGUGGAAACCCGCGGCUCAACCUCGGGCCUGCAGUCGAUACGGGCAGACUAGAGUGCGGUAGGGGAGACUGGAAUUCCUGGUGUAGCGGUGAAAUGCGCAGAUAUCAGGAGGAACACCGGUGGCGAAGGCGGGUCUCUGGGCCGUAACUGACGCUGAGGAGCGAAAGCGUGGGGAGCGAACAGG